CGGGGGGAUCAAGCGUUGUUCGGAUUUACUGGGCGUAAAGGGCGCGUAGGCGGCCAGCACAAGUCAGUUGUGAAAUCUCCGGGCUUAACCCGGAACGGUCAACUGAUACUGUGCGGCUAGAGUGCAGAAGGGGCAACUGGAAUUCUCGGUGUAGCGGUGAAAUGCGUAGAUAUCGAGAGGAACACCUGCGGCGAAGGCGGGUUGCUGGGCUGACACUGACGCUGAUGCGCGAAAGCCAGGGGAGCGAGCGGGAUUAGAUACCCCGGUAGUCCUGGCCUUAAACGAUGGAUGCUUGGUGUCUGGAGUUUUAUAGUCUCCGGGUGCCGUAGCUAACGCGUUAAGCAUCCCGCCUGGGGAGUACGGUCGCAAGACUG
rnacentral:rRNA from 1 species